UUGACAGAAGAGAGUGAGCACCCAUGGUGUUUCCUUAGCAUCAAGGGGCAUGCCAGGGAGCUAUGCGUGCUCACUGCUCUAUCUGUCAG
rfam:Triticum urartu cultivar G1812 contig707556, whole genome shotgun sequence.